CCUACGGGAGGCAGCAGUAAGGAAUAUUGGUCAAUGGGCGAAAGCCUGAACCAGCCAUGCCGCGUGAAGGAUGAAGGCGUUACGCGUUGUAAACUUCUUUUGUAUAGGAAGAAUGGUCGAGAUUCAUCUCGAAAGCGACGGUACUAUACGAAUAAGCACCGGCUAACUCUGUGCCAGCAGCCGCGGUAAUACAGAGGGUGCAAGCGUUAUCCGGAAUUACUGGGUUUAAAGGGUACGUAGGCGGUUAAUUAAGUCAGCAGUGAAAGCCUGUCGCUCAACGACGGAUGUGCUGUUGAUACUGGUUAACUUGAAAUGGGUUAGGGUUGGCGGAAUGGGUCAUGUAGCGGUGAAAUGCUUAGAUAUGACUUGGAACACCGAAAGCGAAGGCAGCUGACCGAACCUUGUUUGACGCUGAGGUACGAAAGUGUGGGUAGCGAACAGGAUUAGAUACCCUGGUAGUCCACACCCUAAACUAUGCAGACUGGAUGUUGGGCGGCAAUAGUUCAGCAUCUGAGGGAAACCAUUAAGUCUGCCACCUGGGGAGUACGCCGGCAACGGUGAAACUCAAAUGAAUUGACGG
rnacentral:rRNA from 1 species